AUUGAACGCUGGCGGCAGGCCUAACACAUGCAAGUCGAGCGGAUGAAGGGAGCUUGCUCCUGGAUUCAGCGGCGGACGGGUGAGUAAUGCCUAGGAAUCUGCCUGGUAGUGGGGGAUAACGUCCGGAAACGGGCGCUAAUACCGCAUACGUCCUGAGGGAGAAAGUGGGGGAUCUUCGGACCUCACGUUAUCAGAUGAGCCUAGGUCGGAUUAGCUAGUUGGUGGGGUAAAGGCCUACCAAGGCGACGAUCCGUAACUGGUCUGAGAGGAUGAUCAGUCACACUGGAACUGAGACACGGUCCAGACUCCUACGGGAGGCAGCAGUGGGGAAUAUUGGACAAUGGGCGAAAGCCUGAUCCAGCCAUGCCGCGUGUGUGAAGAAGGUCUUCGGAUUGUAAAGCACUUUAAGUUGGGAGGAAGGGCAGUAAGUUAAUACCUUGCUGUUUUGACGUUACCAACAGAAUAAGCACCGGCUAACUUCGUG
rnacentral:rRNA from 1 species